CGGUGACAGGUGGUGGCAUGGUUGUCGUCAGCUCGUGUCGUGAGAUGUUGGUUAAGUCCCGCAACGAGCGCAACCCCUAUUGUUAGUUGCCAUCAUUCAGUUGGGCACUCUAGCGAGACUGCCGGUAAUAAACCGGAGGAAGGUGGGGAUGACGUCAAAUCAUCAUGCCCCUUAUGACCUGGGCUACACACGUGCUACAAUGGUUGGUACAACGAGUUGCGAGUCGGUGACGGCGAGCUAAUCUCUUAAAGCCAAUCUCAGUUCGGAUUGUAGGCUGCAACUCGCCUACAUGAAGUCGGAAUCGCUAGUAAUCGCGGAUCAGCACGCCGCGGUGAAUACGUUCCCGGGCCUU
rnacentral:rRNA from 1 species